rnacentral:lncRNA from 1 species
GUCCUAUUAAUUUUGUAGUUAAAAAGCCAUUCCAUUUUAUGCUGCAGUAUCAGUACAUGAACAUUAUAUGGUAGUAACAGUGAUAGACAUGGUGGGAAUAUUAUUUCAGCAGGCCACAAUAAGAAUAAAAAUCUCUCCUUUGCAAACCUUCAAGCUUCAUUUGCUGUCAGGCCCAGUCAGUAGAGUUCUGUAAGUUCAUACCAGUCAGAUGCCUGCCAUUCACAGUAGUGAACUAAAAGCAUGGUGUUUCUUUUUCUUUUUUUUUUUUUUCUUUUUUUUUUUUUCAUUUUUCUACUUCUCUGACCUAUUGGCCUCUAUCUUAUUUCUUCUCUGAGGAGAUCUUUAACGUGUGAAAGCAAAAGCCACAUUUUCUUAAUAACAAUAUCUUAUGUUCCAGUACUGUGCACGUGUUACUCAGUAGAACCUGGAGCUACAGUCAAUCUUUUUUUUUUUUUUUUUUUUUCAGUAGAAAUUCCUGGUGCUGUAGAUGGGGAUUUUUACUGAAAACUUGAUUGUUUGACCUCAACCUUGAUUUGACUCAGACCUGUACACCUCACAGUUAUUGCAUUCCAGUGCAAAAGAGCAUUGGUGGUUUUUGUUUGUUUGUUGCCUUUUUUAAAAUUUAUUUUUGCUUUUCAAUGAAGAAACCUCACCCUUGAUAAGCAUAUAAAAAUGAAGAAUACAUUCAAUGUGACUCAUUUACAGAACUAACUGAUAGCCCUGCCUGUUUACCGCACAAGUCUAAUGUUAGGAGUAAGAGAGAGUCUUCUGUUCCUGGCACAACAUUAUGAGGCAGCAUUGGCAAUGCUGUUGAGAAGCAAGGCCUGAGGUCUUUUCACUUCAUGUUCUCUUUGGAACUCCUAAGCUCUCUGCUUAAUAGGUGUCUUCUUUGUUUGUGUCCUGCAGGGAAGUUUUCAAUCACCAUCAGUUUACCUUCCCUUAAAACUUACACCUAUAACUUAAACCUAAACGAGAGAGUCCAGAGAAAUAAUAAUUUGCUGAAUUUCUUCAGGAAGCCUAAAAAACAUGUGACUUACCUCCCUACUCUGUUGUUUCCCAGGACUGGCUUUUACCCCAAAGGAGAGAGAAGACUUACUCAUCAAGUUCUGCGUAAAGAAUUUUCUUCAGCAAAGCUUGACUAUCAAGAUCUUGUAUCCUCACAGAGUACUUCAGAGCAUGUUAUCUCCUCUUUUGGGAGAUAAAUGCUGAGGAAAAAUGUGAUUUCUUUCCUUAUUUCAUUUUGCUGGGUUUGGUCAUAUACAUGUAGCAGUUAUGGUUACAGGUCAUAACUUUAUAUCCUGCAUGUGUAAGGAGGAAAAAGUUAGAGAGAGUAUACUGAAUGUAUUCUUGAUGUAUUUCUGUAGCCAAAAUAUUUUAUAUGAGGUAUUCUGUUGAUGUCCCAAGCUUAAAAAUCAGUACAGAUGGGCUGAGAGGGCUAAAUAAAUCUUUUAAUGUUCUCUUUCUGUGCA